rnacentral:rRNA from 1 species
GACAGAGGAUGCAAGCGUUAUCCGGAAUGAUUGGGCGUAAAGCGUCUGUAGGUGGCUUUCAAGUCCGCCGUCAAAUCCCAGGGCUCAACCCUGGACAGGCGGUGGAAACGUACCAAGCUGGAGUACGGUAGGGCAGAGGGAAUUUCCGGUGGAGCGGGUGAAAGUGCAUUGGAGAUCGGAAAGAACACCAAUCGGCGAAAGCAGCUACGUG